GGGGGUGACCGGUUUCGACGGUCUGUCCCUUGAAUCUCGUGCGACGCGCUGGAAGUCUGCUGACCAGCUUAAUCCCGCAGGCACACAAACUUGCAGCCAAAACAGCUACAAGCGUGAAGUCUCCGUACUUCGGUGCAAAGGACUUCGCGUUCGCUCUCGCGUAAAAGCUUCGCGCUUUCGCCAUAGCGACGUCUCCCCUCUCUAGUGCUCAUAGUAGAGGCGGUGCGGCGGAAUAAUCUAUGAGAUCGGUAUCUGUCCUCCCGAGCAGAUAGCUAAAUAAGGGAUCCGGUAGGAGUGGUUUCGCAACCGUUCCUCGCACCCUACCCUAGUGCCUAACGGUUGCUAUGCGUCGUAGAUUCGGUUUUGAGGCCAGGCUGGACGCGGGUUCAACUCCCGCCACCUCCACUA
rnacentral:tmRNA from 1 species